rnacentral:rRNA from 1 species
UCGAGCGGAUGGAUUAAGAGCUUGCUCUUAUGAAGUUAGCGGCGGACGGGUGAGUAACACGUGGGUAACCUNCCCAUAAGACUGGGAUAACUCCGGGAAACCGGGGCUAAUACCGGAUAAUAUUUUGAACUGCAUGNUUCGAAAUUGAAAGGCGGCUUCGGCUGUCACUUAUGGAUGGACCCGCGUCGCAUUAGCUAGUUGGUGAGGUAACGGCUCACCAAGGCGACGAUGCGUAGCCGACCUGAGAGGGUGAUCGGCCACACUGGGACUGAGACACGGCCCAGACUCCUACGGGAGGCAGCAGUAGGGAAUCUUCCGCAAUGGACGAAAGUCUGACGGAGCAACGCCGCGUGAGUGAUGAAGGCUUUCGGGUCGUAAAACUCUGUUGUUAGGGAAGAACAAGUGCUAGUUGAAUAAGCUGGCACCUUGACGGUACCUAACCAGAAAGCCACGGCUAACUACGUGCCAGCAGCCGCGGUAAUACGUAGGUGGCAAGCGUUAUCCGGAAUUAUUGGGCGUAAAGCGCGCGCAGUUGGUUUCUUAAGUCUGAUGUGAAAGCCCACG